UGGACACAUGGUGCAAAAUCCAACUUGCAAAAUUCAACAUCUCUAAAUGGAGAAGAAUUUGGGGGACUGGAAAGCUACACUUCUCUUUGAGGUCCAGCUUUUUCAGAUUCCCAGAAUUAUUCUCUGAGCUUGGUAAAUUUUACUGUCGUCUCUCUCAGCCAGUUCAUAGCUGAGUAGAUGAUUUGAAGCAGGAACUUCCUGGCUCAUAACUUAUAUUAUUUCUUACACUAUGAGGUGGUUCCCAUGAUCAGUGGGAAUUGCCAAGAAGGGGUUUGUGAGGAGAGUGGGCUUAGUCCGCUCUCCUUGCAGAUGACCCAUCAGUCAGCUGCGGGGGGCCAAACUGGCUGCCCACAUGACUGCCGGCUCCAUUACGGAGCCGGUAGGGGCUGGGGAGUUCGCAAGUGCACAGGGCAUACUGGAGAGACCCCUGAGCCGGGAGGUUGCAUUUAGCCUCCCCGCCGGGGGUCUCCUCAUGAGUUGCUGCAGCACGGAGCCAUACUGCAGCAACUCACAAUUUAAAAAAAUGGGUUAGCAGAGCACUCGCUCCACUGACCUUGGCUAAGGAGAGGUGGAAAUAGUGGGAUUUGCUGCCGGGAGCCACGCAGCUCCUGUGGCAGCAGACAAUCAACAAAAAGCGGGCUGGGCUCCCUUAGCCCACUUUUUGUUGAUCGUAAGAAUCGCCUCUAUAUCUACUUUAUUCUAUGUAGACUGAAGGAAAAAAAUUAAAUUGAAAGUUUCUCAAAACACUUGAAUCAAGAAUUAUCUAGAAAGCAAAAACAACAACAUAUUAAGGCAGUUCACAUGAUCAUUAAAUAUAUACUAACAGGCAGUAUGCUAACAGGCAUGGAUAUAUAGUAACAGGCAGUAUAUCCAGGGAUUCUUGGUCAUUAGAACUCAUGGGAAUCGUUCAAGCCCAGAUUUCUGAUAGUAGGGCAACCCAGAUCUUAAGCCAUGCUCUUAACCCACAUUGGGGGGAAAUAGGAGCCCCACUCAGAUUGCUGAUCAUAUGUUGGACCUUCCCUGUUCCAGAAGCUCCUGUCAGCCAGCUGCUAUAAUUGCAAUAGAGAGCUGUGGCUACAGUGGCUGCCAUAUGUGUUCACAUCAUUCUGCACUACACACUCAGUGCUCCUCCUUGGAAUAGCUUCAAUAGGGCUGGGCCUACCUCCUGUCCCCUCAUGACCAAUCAAAGGGUGGCUGCUGACAUCAUGAAUUUUUCCCUUCUCCUGUCAGCAUGGUGCAUUGUGGGAAAGUUCUCUUGAUUCUCAGCAGACUUCCCUGCUCCAUACUCAACACUGUGGUGCUUGUGUGUGCUGAGCUUGCAGAGUCCAAUGGGGGCUCCGCUCAUCUUUCUAAUGUGAAGACUUGGAUGAAAAAGAGACACAUCUGAGAAAAUGCCCAAAGGCAUGUCAAAGAAUAGAUACUAUUAAAAGGGAAUGCAUUCCAUAGCCCAGAAGUGACUACAGAGAAGGCCCGUUCCCUAGUCACUGCCAGAUGAGCUGGUGGCAUCUGGAGAGAGACCUCUCUUAGUGACCUUAAUAUGCGAUGAGGAUCAUGCAGAAGAAAGCGCUCUCCCAGGCAACCCAGUCCUAUGACAUUUAGGGCUUUAAAGAUGUUACUGGAGCAGUGUGGGAUGCAGCCAGAAGUUCCCAGGUCUGUCCAAUAAUGGAUGAAUCAGACUGCAGGAUGGCUUUCAAAUGUGUUUAGCUUGGUUUGGGUAUGUGUGUGAGACACUUUGACAGACCUGGUUUUGUGGACAUCCAGGUGAUGUCCUCAAUAGAGAAGCAAGUGAGUACACUUAGGGUUUGGGCAGGAUGUGGCUGAGCUAGACAUGACUUCAUCCUUUCUGGUGAGACAGUAUAGGUCUGGCUGAUCAGCUAAACUGGAUUCGAGUCUGAUCACAAAUAAAACUAUUGAUCUACUGGGAAA